UUCUGAAAAUUUCACGAUCGGUAUCGUAAUGAACGUUUAAUAGAUUUUUUCAAACAGUGAGGAACUAUUUCAAAGUUGUAUUCGAAAUUACGUGGGAUUCUUAUUUGCAAUCGUUUGUAGUUGAUAGUAGUUUUUGAAUUUUUCUAAUCCGAACUGCAAUUAACGAGCAAUCGGCUUUCAAAGCAUAAGUAGGAAAUGAUUGAUAGCUAUAGGCAAAUUGUCUUCAGAUUCCUAUCUACAAGCGUUUGUAGUUGAUUGUAGUAACCAUAGAUUUGCAAUGCACGGAGAAUAAAAAAAGGUGAACAGUUGAGAUAUGCAGGAAAAUUUGAAGUUGUGUUUGAAAGUGGAAGAUAUAGGAAAAAGAAGAUGCUUAUGAACCAACAUCCAUACGUGAUUGUAGUUCUCAAAUUUUCCAAAUGUAAACUGAAAUGAGCCUCCAUAUCGAUUUUUGGAGCCCGAGUAAGAACUAAUCGACAGCUAUAACCGAAAUGACAUCGGUUUCCUGUCUCAAAUAGUUUGUAGUUGUUUAUAGUACUCAUAGAUUUUGAAUACACCGGAAAAAAAGGGUGGGAGAGAAUUGAGAAAUGUAGGAGGAUUUGUUUGUAGUUGUUUCUAAGAGUGGAAAAAAUGGAGAAGUUUGAAAAACCUUAUAGAACAAAGUUCAUACAUGAUUGUAGUUUUGGAAUUUGUCCUAUCUGCACUAGAAUGGGGAUUCUGUCCAUUUUUGAAACACAGUUCGGAACGAUGUCAUAGUUUACGCUUGAGUGACAUUGGAUUCUCAUCUGCAAUCGUUUGUAGUUGAUUGUAGUUUUGGAAUCUUUGCAAUCGGAAAUUAAAUGAGCGGCCACUCCAUUUUUGAAGAUCAAGGAGAAACUGAUUGAAAGCUAUAGCCAGAGUAAGCUCGGAUUUCUAUCUGAAAUCAUUUGUAGUUAUUCGUAGUACUCAUAAAUUUCGAAUGCACCGCAAAAACCGGGUGGCAGACAGUUCAGAUAUUAGGAUUUUCUUGCAGGCAUUUCUUGCAAUGAAAAAAAAAACGAAUAAAAAUAAUUACAUAGAUUGAGGUUCAUACUCAAUUACAGUUUUGGAUGUUUUUUAUUCCACACUCAAAUCUACAUCGAAUCGAUCUUUGAAGUCCAAUUAGGAACUUGCUGACAGCCUUAGCUGAAAUGAGCUCGGAUUGCGGCCUAAAAUGGUUUGCUGUUUGUAGUAUUUUCAAUACACCAGGAAAAAGGAAAAAUUGAGAUAUGUAGAACGAUUUGUUUGUAGUUGUUUCUAAAAGUGGAAAAAAAUAUCAUACUUGAUUAUAGUUUUGGAAUUUUUCCAAUUCUUUCCAAUUUUCCAAUUCUUUUUCCAAUCUGAAGGAAUGAGCGUUCAAUGCGUCUUUGAAACACGGUUAGGAACGAUUUCAUUGUUAAAGCUUAACUGACAUUGGCUUCUCAUCUACAAUAGUUUGUAGUUGAUUGUAGUUUUCGGAUUUCCACAAUCGGAAAUCACAUAAGUCUUCAACCGAUUUUUGAAGAUCAAGGGAGCUGAUUGAAAACUAUAGCCAGAAAGAGCGCUGGUCCCUAUAUAGUUUGUAGUCGAUUGCAGAUUUGGGAUUUUUCUGAUAAAAAUGAAACUGAUCGUUCAAUCUGUUUUAUAAUGACAGUUGAGUGUAGGAAUGUUUCUUUCUUUCAUUGAAAUUGAACUGAUCAUUGCGUUAUUGCUCCCGGACCAAGUAUAAUGAAAAUACAAGGUACGUAUAUCAUUAAAUUUCCCUUAUUUUCUUAAUGACUACGAUAAGACAUUGAAAGAUAAAACAUUACAUGUCCCGGUCCAGGCAAACAGAUCACCGUCUCUCACGUGCAAAAUUUCCUUCCGAGCUGAAGACCAGAAUGGCAAGCACUUGGGGGAUGGUAAUAUGUUUUCCCUGGCGAGGUGUGUAUAUUUCUAUUCGUGACGUGGGACUGUAGCGCCACGAAAAAUCUUUUUCGUAUUUCAUUAUUGCAGGAAAUAAUCAUUAUUAUGCACUUUUAUCAUUGUCAACUCUAAAUUAUCGACACCGAUAGUAUUAUGACGUUUCUCUCCUUCUGGCAAAUCUUGGGUUAUAUCUGCCGCGUUUCUUCGAACAUUCCAAACUAUGAUUUAGUUUGUGGUGUGUUUCUUCAAUUUUGUUCGAUCGGUCAAACAAUUGACAACUUCAUUGUUCGUUGUCAAUUGUUUUAACGACUGAACAAGAUUAAAGGAACAUGUAAAAAAUCUACCUAUAGCUUGAGCUGUUCAAAGAAACGUGGGGCAUAUAAUCAAAAGUUUGUUAGUGUAGGAAAACGUCAUUAGUAUUGCCAAAACAAGGACAAAUACUCAUUAUCAAACCGGUUUAAAUGUUGCGCGAGAAACGAAUUCACAACACUAAGAUUUCUACGUACCGAUACAUGAUAAGUAUUGAAUUAUGUCUGACUGACCGACCGGGGCGAUACCUAGCCUCUAUUCACGUCUUGGUUAGUAACCGCCAUUCUGUGUCAUUCUUUCUAUCUUAGGAAAACUUGGCGACCGUGUCCAGACAACUUACUUUCAUGUCACUAUCUCAUGAAACUCUUGGCACACUAUUUUUACAAAAAAAAGUUUUUUGUGUUUUUAUAAUAUUUUAUUUCCAUUAAAGAUAUGCGUUGCACAUAGAAAUACAUUAAAAAUCCCCUUUCAUUUCUUUUAUAACCUCAGAUCUAUCCCUCUAAGUCUUGAGGUUAAGGAGCAUCUUUUCUCACCACUCUCCAGGCUUUUAAGCAAGGAAGACAGAUCAUUUCGCUGCACAGAAUAUCGAGCUUUCAUCCAUUCAUUAGUGUUUCAUGGGGGUUUAGCGAAAUAUCAACAGGAAGUAUUAAAAUAGAAUAAAAAGACUAUUGGAAAUAUCGCAAGUGCACUGGAAUCAAUGGCUUUGGGGGACAGAGUGAGGGAAUCCUUCGACAACAUAUGGGUUGACAAAAUGGAUAUAUAGGAGAAAGGCUCUCGACUCCCUUAAUACGAAAAAAUGUAGUCCUUUAGGGCGUUGCAAUGUAGGAUUAGUUAUGUAUAUAUGUACAUAAUAGUAGAUAAGAUAUAUAUAUCUUGAGUGCGUUAAAAUUCCCAUCGGGAUCAUCAAUAAUUUAUCAUCAGCGGUUCUGGAGCAUUUAAGUUUACAUUUCUUCGAGAUCCGUACAUAUAAACAAUGGUUGAAAAAUCAUCACAUUUCUGCUGUAUGAAGUAACAUAAUUGCCUGCAGUGCUUCAGAGAUUUAGAGAGAAGAAAAACUCUUUUUCAGACCAACGUUUCACGGAAAUAAUUACCAUCAAGUAUUCUGUCAUUGCAAUGAAAGCUUGAAGUCAUUAAUGAUCAUAAUAUUUAUUAUUCCUGAGAGAACUUCCAAUGUUUCAAGGGCGUUUCGUCAGUUAUCAGUUUCUCAAAAUACACACAACUACUCCCAAUACACUGCAAUGAUACCAAUAGCGAAGGUGAGGAAAAUUGAAAAGAAAAAUAAUCUGAUAUUUAAGUGUCAAAAGAAUUUUUCGAGUGUUUUUUAACGCCCCAGUGGCAUCUUCUGAGGAGAAAAAUUUCAUAAUUGAAUGAUAAAUUAUUACCAACAAGUUCUCCAUGUGUGGGACAAUCAUUUCGAUAAAAAUUCCGUCUCACUCAUAAUAUUAAUAUUUAUUUCUUCUUUUGACGUUUCUUCGCGAUCAAA